CGGUGGGUGAUUGGUGGGUGGGGCCGGGUCUCCGCCCAGCUGGCGCUGAUGAGCCUCCGCCCAGGUGAGGCUGGCUCCACCUGAGUGAGGACUAGCCGCUUGGACCUUCCAAUCCCGCGACUGUGGAAGAUAUCGAUGUUUCCCAGGAACAAGAUUAAUCAAUGGGCAGAGAUCACAUUCCGGAAAUGGACUAUAGGUGGAUACAACAUUGCAUCAUUCAAGGUGUGCGGCACCAUUAACUUUGCUUUCUUCAUCCAUCAUGGACAUCCAGCUCCAGAAAGACACUGCAGCUCAAGUCAUGACAGGAAUUAUAAUUAUGAGCACUGUCUGGCUUGUUCUCACUGAUAUGACUAUUAAGAAAAAUGUACUAUAGGAGAUUUGGUUUGCCAAUAAAACUAUUAAGGAAUCUUCAGAGAUCAACUCAGGAUUACAUGUAGAACUACGAUCAAUGAGCAUCAGCUACUAUUUGGAUUGUGGAUGAUCCAGAACUUUUUGGUUUUUGAAAAAAAUAUUUUCCUUGUAUUGAUCCCAUCCUAUAAAUCUUUGCCACGGAAGCUUUCAAGACUGUUGGCAGACUUCUGUAUGACUAAUGCUGCACAAAGCAUUGAAUGAGAAUUGAAUCUGAAUACCAGUCAUAUCUGGCAGAAGACUAAUAUGAUUAAUAGUACUGGCCAGUUGUUCUGAACACUCCUUCAAAAAUAUUGGAUGUUCACAAAUAUUUUUUGUCUUUCAGAUUGUUUUGAAAUUUCUGUCAUAAAUUAUUAACAUGCCUGCAUAUUUACCACCUAUACUUCUGUAUAAGAUGAUCUAAUGUAAGUCAAGGACAGAUUUUGGAGCCAAAAUUAUGGAUUUUGAUAAGAUGCAUGGAUAAGUUGAGGAUCAUUCUGUGGAGACAGGAAAACACAAAUUUUGCCUCAGGAGGACAGCUGUCCUUUGACAAUGUUGCCAGUGUUCCCCACCCUCAUAUUCAAAAAAGCCUGAAAUGGUUCUGGGACAGAUAGAGUAGAUAUGGUCAGUGUAUCUUUCAGGUUCUUCCUGGGUGGACUAUUGCAGGGGUCCUCAAACUUUUUAAAUAGAGGUCCAGUUCACAGUCCCUCAGACUGUUGAAGGGCUGGACUAUAGUUUGGAAAAAAAACCCACAAAUUCCUAUGAACACUGCAUAUAUGUUAUUUGUAGUGCAAAAAAACAUGAAAGAACAAUACAAUAUUUAAAAUGAAGAUCAUUUAUUAUGAGCAUAAACUUAACAGUGUUUCAAUGGCAAGUGCGGGCCUGCUUUUGGCUAAAGAGAUGGUCAGGUUAAUUAUGAUUGUUGUUUUUGUGUAUCUUCAAAUCAUUUGAGACUUAGGGAGACACUAAGUCUAUAUAGUUUAGGACGGAGGGCAGGUCAAUGACCUUGGAGGGCCGCAUUUGGCCCGCAGACCUUAGUUUGGGGAUCUCUGGACUAUGGUCUUGCUUUUCGCCACUCUACUCAAGGAACCCUGGUCCCUUGGAGUCCUAGUCUGACACUCAGAACAUUACCCAAUGCUGUCUGUGUGCACCCCUUGAUAUGCUAGAAUAGAUUUCACUCAACUAACUUUAUCGAUGAAUCAGAUGUAAAAUAAACCACAUGUAUUUCAUGUGUGAUCAGCCCACACACUGCCUUGCCAGAGAAAGGAAAUAUGCCAUGCAGAUGAACAAUAAAGAACAAGUAGUUUA